CCAAACCAAUUCAUUCAUAGAGAUAGGGCGGAUGAGCAAACCGGAAUCUAAGUUCCAGCAACCACUCAGUUCCAAUUCCAAAGGGUAUUAUAAUAGAGAUAGAUAGAUAGAUAACAAAGUACUAGCAGCACCUCGAGCAUUCGGUGUAAAAAACACACAAAUCUGGAUCAAACUUGUUUCACCCAACAGAUAUCUUGAUGCCUAUGUAUGUGUAUCUCAAACACCCAGAAGCACUAGAUACCAAGUAUCGCAGGUAGGCAACCACGCACAGCUGCUUACUUGCCACCACCGAUUUCCUUCACAGCGCAGAUCUGUUCUUCACCCAUGGCGGACAUCACAGACAGGAUCAGGUCCUUGCCAUCAGCAAAUCCAGUCUUGAUCUGCAUUUCACAGAGCAAAGAAACAUCAAGAGAGUGACGGGGAGAUAUGAUGUGCAGCAUAACAAGUUUCAACAGCUAGAGCACAGACCUGGCCAAGCAGAACAUCAUCAGUGGGAAGCUUCAGGUCAUCCUUAGUGUUGCCACUCUCAGUUAGAAGGCUGACCUGUAGAAAGCCAUCACAAAGUUAGAAAUAGGAGUACGCUUUGCACAUAAAUGGAAAUGGAAGGACAUUGAAAAUGAAACAUACAUAUCCAUCAUCAGUUAUGUCAAUCAGCUGAUAAUCUUGGCGGUCAACAUGGGGGACCUGAACAAAUAACACAACAGAGAAGGCUAAAUAAGAUCUACUGAACGAAAAGAAACUAACAAAAUGAAGCAUCUCGGUGUAGCUUACGUCACAGUUGUGGGAUGAAGGAACGAUAUCCUCAAGCUUCUUUCCAUUAAAGAUGUCAAUGGCAACAAAGUGACACUUUGCGUGACCAUGCUUCCCAGUCUUGGAGGUGGAGACCUCAACAACCUAGCUCAAAGAUUAAACCAAAAUGAUUCUUCAGAACAUGCUGGACCACAAAGCAAUUUCUGGUGGCAGGCAGGAAUUAUUGAGUUUGGAGCAGCAAUUAGACAAUCAGAUGCGCAUAGUAAAACAAAGCAACAACAACCCAACAGGAAACACUCGCAUAAUCAAAUGAAACAAUAUCGGCACAGCUUUAAGGGAGUACCUAGAACUCAUCUAGAUGAGAUAUAAUUUGGUCUCAUUCACUUUGAAAACAAGAACAAAUACAACCCACGUCAGCACACACGCAUCUUAUAGCAUCACAUCCAAUGGCUAUAAAAGGUGAAUGAGACCAAAUUAUAUCUCAUCUAGAUGAGUUCUAGCAAAACUGCAGCUUUAAACUGAUACAAGAACAACUACUACUGAGUGGUAGUAGCUACAUAACCAGAAAUAGUUAUAGUACUUAAAUUAGCAUCUGAAACUGAAUAAAUAGUAUGCAUCAGCAAACUAUGAAAACUACCGACUAUGCCGAUUACUAAUUAAACUGUUCGUAAAUUCCCUGUAAAACAGAUAUAGACUUUAAUUAGCACCUUGCCAAAUCUAGCAGCGUUAAGAUUUACUGAAACAGGAUUCCUAAAAUUAAUUCAGGAGUGAGGACACAGUCGGAGCUAAUGAAAAGAUCCUAAGGCAUAGCGGUGGAUAUAGGAAAUCAAGGUAAAUUUGUAGCACCAACAGAUAUCAUGGACCCGUGUAUAUCCAUCCGCAUCUACAGCAAAGAAUGGUACUUGGACUUGUAGAUCUAACAACUUGCAAAUCUGCACCCGACUAGCACAGAUCACCGCAGCAGAUUCCCAUACGCAUCCAUCAACCAACCAGACAUAAGAGCUUUCCUAUGGUAAGAAUAGAUCGGAAAAGGCACAGACCUUGCAGGGACGGGCCUUGAUGACGAUGUGUCCACCCUUGCGGAUGGCGCCGGCCUGCUGAGGGUAGGUCUUGGAGGCGCCGGAGUCGGCCUUGGACUCGAAGUGGUGCUCAUCGGUGUCCGACAUCUCCGACGAUCCUCCUGGGUCCUGGAACAAGGAAGCAGCAACGAGGAGGAGGUCAACGAAAACAGGAGGAUGAGAAGGGCAAACUCGAAAUCGACUGGAUUUUCCGGCGGAUCUGGAUUAGCAAGGGGGGCGCUGCUCACCGGGGGCAAGUGGGGUGGUGGAGACGAGAUGCAGCGGCAGCGAGGGGCGGAUGGAUGGAUCCGGAGGCUAGGGUUCUUGGUACGCCUCACCUCCCAGCUUUU
rnacentral:lncRNA from 1 species